rnacentral:rRNA from 1 species
AGCGAACGCUGGCGGCGUGCUUAACACAUGCAAGUCGAACGGUGAAGCAGGAGCUUGCUCCUGUGGAUCAGUGGCGAACGGGUGAGUAACACGUGAGCAAUCUGCCCUGGACUCUGGGAUAAGCGUUGGAAACGACGUCUAAUACCGGAUACGAGGCGUGGGGGCAUCCCCAACGCCUGGAAAGAACUUCGGUCCAGGAUGAGCUCGCGGCCUAUCAGCUAGUUGGUGAGGUAACGGCUCACCAAGGCGACGACGGGUAGCCGGCCUGAGAGGGUGACCGGCCACACUGGGACUGAGACACGGCCCAGACUCCUACGGGAGGCAGCAGUGGGGAAUAUUGCACAAUGGGCGCAAGCCUGAUGCAGCAACGCCGCGUGAGGGACGACGGCCUUCGGGUUGUAAACCUCUUUUAGCAGGGAAGAAGCGGAAGUGACGGUACCUGCAGAAAAAGCACCGGCUAACUACGUGCCAGCCGCCGCUGUAAUAC